rnacentral:miRNA from 1 species
UCUGAAUUUUAUGACCAAGAUAAC